CAGUAAUAAACUGAAAAAUUGUCCGGUGGAUUUUGCAUCAAAGCAUAUCCAAGAGGAAAUAAAGCACCAAAGCUGACCAAAACAAGAACAGACAAGUCUACGCACUGCUUAUGCCAGGUGCAAAUGUGGAUGAAAUAAACUUAUUUAACUGAAAUGAUUAGAUCAGGUCCAGGAAACAUCUUCACUAACUGUUUUUCUUCUUCUAAAGACAGACACUGAAACCUGUAAAGAGCAGCUCCAUUUCUUUUUAUUGUGUCAGACUUUCCUCUCAGGCUCUUACUACUAAAAACUAUCAGUGAGACGUGAAAUGGAGCCAAAUCGAAGCUUGUUGUAGAGGUCAAAGGUUAAAAAACAAAGAGGCAGAUUUAAUCCAGCAAAGUCAAAGGUCAGAACGUUUUUGACAUACUCAUACUGAUUUGAUAUCUGCUACACGUCUGUCUCAGCUUAAAAAAAAAAACAGUGGAAGUGUCCUUUAAAUAGUCAAACAUGCAACAGAUACAAAACCUGCAGACUGAACUGUUUAGAUCUGAUAGAAACUGAGAAACAAUCUUUAGUCUCAAAUAUAAACCAACAAAUGACCCGUAUAACACCGGUAAUCCUUUGGCUACUUGAUAUCUGUAUGAGCUCUCUCAUCUCAGCUGAAAGACUCCUGCAAUAACCACGCUCAGAAAUGACAGCGAAGCCUCUUGAGAUCUCUUCAAGUGCACUUUAAGUUUUUCUAUGCCUCCAAAUGAAUAACCUCUGUUACACCUGUGAGUAAAAGUAUAAAAUAUGAUGAAAAAUCCUGAGAAAUCUUGUACAAAGAGACGGGUGAUUGAAAUUCAAACAUUCAGUUCAGCUAUGAAAACUGAGGCCUCGUUUUCCCACCUGCUAUUAUUUCCUUUUUUGUCGUCAUAAUAAUAAGAAAGUUCUCCUGCUUUGCUUUACAAAUAUGUAAAUAAUUGAUUAAUCUAUUUCUGAUCCAUUAAUAUAUGCUUGUCAACUUUUCUCCCAUAGUGCACAGCCUGACAUGACCCAGUUUUUGGCGUCUAAAUGCAGUUGAAUGCAAUGGAAAAGUACAUUUACAUACACAGCAGUACUGUGUGUGUGUGUGUGUGUGUGUGUGUGUGUGUGUGUGUGUGUGUGUGUGUGUGUGCGUGCGUGCGUGCGUGUGUGUGUGUGUGUGUGUGUGUGUGAAGACCUGUGGACCCACUUUGUUCAAAAUUGGUUGAGUUAACCGUUAAUUACGACUGCCCGAGGCACAACCUCUGAAUACAGGGCAUGAAUAUGAGGCUGCUAGGCCAGCGAUGCCCCAGGUUAGCUUCAUUUACACAUUAUUCUGGAGAUUUGAUUUAGGAAUGAAUCUGAGCAGGGCUGUAUUAAUCACUCACAGCUGUUGUGACGGAGCAUCUCUUGACUGAGAGAAAUCUCCUCCACAGAAACAGAGCGGAGUCCGAUUUCAUCCACUUCAGCCUUAACGCAUCAAAAACACUUCAUGUGAAGGUCGUCCUCUGUGGCCUGUUCAGCCGACUCUUUUCUUCAGACUCUUUCUGUGUUUUUUUGUUGUUUUCAGACACAGACAGUUUCCUCAUGGAGAUCAAUAAGGUGACUGAAAACAAUAAUAGGGAUUGUUCAGAUUAGAGAAUCUGAUUCAUAACACUUGGCCUUCUAGGUUGGGCUCCUUAAGGUCCUUACACAUCAGGGCCGACGUGAAUAUAGAACGUGAAACUACGAAAUAUUCAGAGGUGAAUUUUGACGGGCCUGACUAUACACAUCAAGCCCGAUGCGAUUUUGCGACUUUUCAGGGGAGAAAAGACGCAUCCCAGGGGAAGACUUUUCCCAGGGAAAGUCCAGCCUCCCUCUCCUCUGAUUGGCUAGAAAAGCUAGAAACUUCAUCACAUGCUCAAGCCAAACGGUCAGCACUUACAGCCAAUCAGAGGUGAUAAGAUAAGCACAUGAAACUAUUGUAACAAGCAUUAGCACAGAUGAAAGUUAAAACAAAGGCGUUUAGCAAACUGUUAAAGCACACAAACCAUCGUCAUAUGAGAGAUCUGACGCUAUGUUGUCCUUCUGGUUGUUAUCUUUGUAAUGUUUGUGUCUUUUAUCAUAAAUCACUCUGUUCUCCGACACAUAAACAAUCAGCCGGUCGGCCAUAUUGGAUAUACCAGUGAAUCAGACAACGCAACAGCACACAAUCUGAUUGGUCAGAAGUGGACACACAUUAUGUGAAACUUUAGAAAAAUCGACCGUGACCCGAAAAAAUAAAUGCCGCAAUAUCGCAGGACGGGAAAACGUCGCUGAUGUGAACGCUUGUAAUGACAGGAUACAGGUUCGAAGAAAAUACUGACGUCCGAAAUAAUGGCCCAAAAAAAACGGUCCCGGUGUGAAAGGACCUUAAUUCUCUCGUUGCUCCACUGAUGUUUCGAGAGUGAAGCUUCAUCCUCCUGCACAGCAUACACAGUUGAUUCCUCCAUCUUUAGGUGUGAAGUGCACUGAGGGGCUUUCACAGCUCUGAAGAAGUCAUUGUUUCACUUUGAAGCUUCUCUGAGGCAACUUUUCAGCUCUGUAGACUUUUAACCUCCAUUGUUCUCCAAAGUCUCCCAAAGGCCUCCUCUG